UGGACCAGAUGUUAUAAACAUUAAACGGUCACAUAAAUCAUUACUAUUUUUAGAAAAUGUAUGUUUGUUUCAUAUAAUUGUAUUGGAAGUCCUGGUUUUCACUAGGGUUGCCGCGGUGUGGACAUUUUCACACCGAGUAAUACACUCGUCUCCACACCGGUAUUACCGAGCAUAAACGGUAUAAACUUUGAAACUAGGUCAACCGCCACACAAGCAUCGGUUUUUAGACCCUUCUCGUCCUUCAGUUGCCGCCAACGUUCGAAAGCAGCGCCUAGGAUUAUUCUUGAUUUCAGUUUUUCUCUUUCAGCGUUUUUAUUAUCAAUUACUCUCUGAAAAAGAGUUUUCCUUCUCUUUGCUGGUGGUGGUGGUGGUGGUGGUGGGGAUGGUGGCGUCUUGUCUGCCAUGGAAAUUGUCUUCUACUGCUAGGUCCAAAUGUGGAUUAACUAGUUCCAGUAGCUACCGCAGGAUAACAACAAACAGGAGCUUGCUCUGGGUCACGAGCUCUGGGUCACGAGUACUGCACGAAGGGGUCGCGCGCGGGGCGCGGGGGAGGGGGAGUGCAGUACGACCGUUUGAUUGACGUACUUACUGUCCAAUGCAACUCGGU
ensembl:lncRNA